GAUGAACGCUGGCGGCGUGCCUAAUACAUGCAAGUCGAGCGAACAGACGAGGAGCUUGCUCCUCUGACGUUAGCGGCGGACGGGUGAGUAACACGUGGAUAACCUACCUAUAAGACUGGGAUAACUUCGGGAAACCGGAGCUAAUACCGGAUAAUAUAUUGAACCGCAUGGUUCAAUAGUGAAAGACGGUUUUGCUCUCACUUAUAGAUGGAUCCGCGCCGCAUUAGCUAGUUGGUAAGGUAACGGCUUACCAAGGCGACGAUGCGUAGCCGACCUGAGAGGGUGAUCGGCCACACUGGAACUGAGACACGGUCCAGACUCCUACGGGAGGCAGCAGUAGGGAAUCUUCCGCAAUGGGCGAAAGCCUGACGGAGCAACGCCGCGUGAGUGAUGAAGGUCUUCGGAUCGUAAAACUCUGUUAUUAGGGAAGAACAAAUGUGUAAGUAACUAUGCACGUCUUGACGGUACCUAAUCAGAAAGCCACGGCUAACUACGUG
rnacentral:rRNA from 1 species